UAAUACGGAGGGUGCAAGCGUUAUCCGGAUUCACUGGGUUUAAAGGGUGCGUAGGUGGGCAGGUAAGUCAGCGGUGAAAUCCCCGAGCUUAACUUGGGAACUGCCAUUGAUACUAUCUGUCUUGAAUACCUUGGAGGUGAGCGGAAUAUGUCAUGUAGCGGUGAAAUGCUUAGAUAUGACAUAGAACACCAAUUGCGAAGGCAGCUCACUACACGGUCAUUGACACUGAGGCACGAAAGCGUGGGGAUCAAACAGGAUUAGAUACCCUGGUAGUCCACGCCCUAAACGAUGGAUACUCGACAUCAGCGAUACACUGUUGGUGUCUGAGCGAAAGCAUUAAGUAUCCCACCUGGGAAGUACGACCGCAAGGUUG
rnacentral:rRNA from 1 species